UUUUCACUUUUUCCAAAGUGUACAGGUGAAAGAUGUUAGUUUGCCUCGAGAAUCAGAAAAUGGAAGGUUGAAGGGUUUUGGUUAUGCAGAGUUUGAUGAAAUGCAUGUUUUUAAAAGCUUUGGAACUUGAUGAUCGGACUUUAAAGGGAAGGCGUAUUCGCGUUGAUGUGGCUGGACAAAGUCAGGGCACUGAUAAAAGAAAGACAGCAGAGUUCGUGAUCAACCUGC